AUGACCUCUGUGUUACUUCAACCUCUUAGGAACAAAAGUGACGUGAUCCUUUUAUUAAACAAAGGAGCGAUGGAAAUCAAGCAAGCAAUCGAUGUCUUUAAACUCUCCUGUGACUCAGCUGGAGACAACAGCCUGUGCAACGAGCAUCUUUGCAAUGUUUUUGUAAGCAUCCAAAUUGCUUGCUUUUCUUCUGGAGUCAGCUUCCUCGUCUUCAUCCUGGUUUGUGUGUGUCACUACCGAAUGCAUGACUCAGAAUGCAAAAGCAAUGGAUAUAUCUGAUACGACACAUUCCCCGCUUUUAAUAUUUGAAGAAUUAAUGCAACAGGACACAGCUGAACACUUAGAAAGACCUGUGAGGCAACUGUUCCAGUACUUAUGCUCACAUCAGAUAGGGACACGAAACUCUGGUAAAACAUCUUUGUGUUGAAUCACCCAAUAAUAAAAUGAGACAUUCUGUUGUUUUGUCUCAUAUUCAUCUUUUAAUCAUAUUUACAGAUUUCUUGACUCCACAGCAAACAGAACAAUUUUGUCUUUACUGUUCCAAUACGUAUGGAAGGCACUGUGUGUGUGUGUGUGUUUAUAGUGUGUUUAUAGUGUGUUUGCAAACAUUGCAAAUAGUAUAAUUUUUUUAAAUGAACCAUUUAAAUAUUUACAUUUUGAAAAGCAAAAUACUGUAUAAACUUGCAAUUUUAUUUGAAUAUAAAUUACAAAAUGUAUUUUCAUUUUUUCAUCAUUCAUUUCAAUAUUCACAUUUUGCUUCUCAGCUUGAUUUUUCUUUCACUUAGGAUGUUUAGAUGUUUUUACAAAAAAUAUUUUCUGUGCAAUGAACAAAUGUAGGAUGAGUGUUAGUUUUAUUCAUCAAGAAUGUAUUGGAUCAUGAAAAGUGGACAUUACUAAAGAUUACGAAUCU
rnacentral:lncRNA from 1 species